AGUGCAGGGACAAGGGAGAUGAAGAUCACACAUACAGGCAGCGGCACACUUGUGAGGAGUGGUCGCUCCUCGCCCUUUUCUCCUCCAUGCGUUUAAGGUUUAGUUUUCCAUUAGGCAGUUCAUCUUUUGCUCUUUUUGGCCGGUAUCUUCAGCCCUCUCAUUUGUUCCUGGUUUUCUUUUGGGAAUUAUUUAAUGAAUCUUGUUUAUUGGUUUACUUUUUGUCUGGUGUUCCUUUACAUGUUGCAUCUUCCACAACUCCUUUGAGCCCUGUGUUUGACAUAUUUCUGUGGAGACUGAAACAAUGUGUCCAAAACCAAAGAAUAACAGGGAAGAAUAAUCUCUCCUGUCCUGACUGAUGAUAAAGCUGUUGAGUUUGUUCAGCAGUACUAAAAUCUAUGAAAAAUUGACCUUCGAGCUUCAUCCGUAUGCCGCGUGUAGAAAGGCAUCAGUGUCUGUGUGUACUUUUUGUCUUUAUUGAAUCAGUCCUCAUAUUCUCCUAUGUCCAAAACCAUGUUUGGCUGAUGCUGAUAAGAUCUCCCCUAUACCUCACUGGGGAUCAACAGUGGGGUAAUUGAUAAUGUAGCACAACUUUGCUAUCAUUGCGGCUGACUGCUGACAUCUGCUGUGAAUUCAAGUUGAAAGCUAUCGACGAGCUGCAAACUUUUCAAAGCAUUUCUUUUAAGAAUGUGAAUGUGAAAAAAAGUUUUUGGUCUCCAACAGAAAGAUUUUCAGUUCAGUAUUCCUGUAAGUAGUCAAGGAGCAGCCUACUUUUACAGACACCCUUGUUUUGCUAUUUAACUAUUAAUUGCGAUCUGACAGAGCCGUCCCCAAAGACGUUUAAAGAUCCUUUAAAUGAAAGUAACUCGGUAGACAUUAAAGUGAGUGGUUUAGUCUGUCUUUUCUCAUCCCACAGCAGCUGAUCAGAUUUCCGACUUCUUAGAAGUGAGUGUUGCCCUGAGGUGACGUUUAUUAAUUCAAAACGGCCCUUUUCACUUGAAAUUUAAUUCUAACUGAUUUCUACUGAAUCCCUUUAACCACUCUGUUUCAUCAUGAAUCAGGCCUUCUGUGGACAUGUGUGAUCAUUUCUGUUUGAUGCAUGCUGAUUAACCAUGUAUGUAUUCAACAAAAAAAGUAAACACAAGUGCAAGUUUUAAGCAAGCAAGAUUUAAGACUUUGUUUUUAUGCACAAAAUGAAACAAUUCAGUUCUCUCAGAUUGUGAGCACAGUUUGCUGAAGUCUGUGUGAGCGAGCGCUCCCCCUUUGCCAAGAUAAUCCAUCCACCUGACAGCUGUGGCACAUCAAGCUGCUGAUUGAACAGCAUGAUUAGUGCACCGGCGUGCUGCUCUGAACCGGUCACUCUAAAAUGUGCAGUUUUAUCACAGCGCAAGUCCACAGAUGUCGCACAUUUCAAGGGGAGAACAUUAGGCAGGCUGGCAGCAUUAAUGUCCACCAGAGCUCGUCAGUCUGCAUGUUGAUAUGCCACACAUGUCGGUUGGAUGGAUUAUACUGGCAAAGAAGUGCUCACUGAACAGCUUCUGGGCUGAGACUACAGGAGUAUCUGGCUGAUUUAACCCUGAUGCACCCCUCCCAACAAUCCGGGGUGAAUCUAGGCAGGGAGCUUGGUCCUUCCCCGGGUUAUAUGUUUAUGUGAAGGGUUAACAGAUCGGAGGUCUCAUUUCUAAAACAUUGCGUAGGAUCUGUACUGAGAGUGUAUGUGCACACAAAAGCUGAAAAUGGUGUGUAAAAAUAAAUAAAUAAAAGUCUGAUUUAUAAAACCUAGCCCAUGCACACCUGCUGUCACUCUGUCCUUGAUAACUCGUAAUCCACCUUGAAAUGUGCACACAUGGCUCAGCCUCAUAUCCCACCCUCUACACACCCACAUUCAACCAGAAAUGGUGAAUGCAAAGAAGCUUGUGAAUGCUUGUGCAUAUAAAUGAGCUCAGAUAAGGGAUUUUUAAUAGCUGAAUCAUGGCAACAGCUGAGAAAAAGGCAUGGUCGAAGUGCUAAUCGGCAAAGUGGAGGUGAGAGGAGACAUAUCGUUUGGUGGAAACAGCAGCAGGGUGAGAAGAAACAAAAAAGAAAUGCAGUGAGCGGCAACACGUUGUUGCUCUGAUGAACCAAGUCAGCGGAGAGGACCGUGCCUGGAAUUAAGAAAAAAUGGUCUGGGCUUAAGGUGGAGGCGAAAAAAAGGAUUGCCUCUCAUUGCCAAAGUGUGACCGUGACUGGUGGGGGCAACAGCACACCUGAGCUCACACUGCUCGACACCAAAACUGCAACAGUUCUUGGGCAAGCAAGUGUGACUGGCAAAGGGAAGGAGAGACAGACUUGGCUGACACAGAUGAACAUGAAGCCUGUGGAGUGUCAGACAUUGCAGACCUGUGUCUGUGUAAAAAAAACAUCCAACGCACAGGCAGCUGAACACACAGCCGGCCCCAGUGUGUGACAGCCCUCGGAGGUUCUCCAUCAUUUAUCAGCAGUGG